rnacentral:rRNA from 1 species
GACGAACGCUGGCGGCGUGCUUAACACAUGCAAGUCGCACGAAGUGGCGCACGGGUGAGUAACGCGUAAUCAACCUGCCCUUCAGAGGGGGACAACAGUUGGAAACGUCUGCUAAUACCGCAUACUGAUGGAGGGGAUUGUGUCUGAUUAGCUAGUUGGAGGGGUAACGGCCACCCAAGGCGAUGAUAAGUAGACGGUCUGAGAGGAUGGACGGCCAAAAUGGGACUUGGACACGGCCCAGACGCCUACGGGAGGCAGCAGUGGGGAAUAUUCCGCAAUGGACGAAAGUCUGGCGGAGCAACGCCGCGGGAGUGAUGACGGGCUUCGGGUUGUAAAGGUCUGUUAAUCGGGACGCGGUACCGGAAUAGAAAGCCACGGCUAACUACGUGCCAGCAGCCGCGGUAAUAC